UACGUAGGGUGCAAGCGUUGUACGGAAUUAUUGGGCGUAAAGAGCGCGUAGGCGGUCUCGUAAGUCGGGUGUGAAAUUUCGGAGCUCAACUCCGAAACUGCAUUCGAUACUGCGGUGCUUGAGGACUGGAGAGGAGACUGGAAUUCAUGGUGUAGCAGUGAAAUGCGUAGAGAUCAGUAGGAAGACCAGUGGCGAAGGCGGGUCUCUGGACAGUUCCUGACACUGAGGCACGAAGGCCAGGGGAGCAAACAGG
rnacentral:rRNA from 1 species